AUUGAACGCUGGCGGCAGGCCUAACACAUGCAAGUCGAGCGGAUGAUGGGAGCUUGCUCCCGGAUUCAGCGGCGGACGGGUGAGUAAUGCCUAGGAAUCUGCCUGGUAGUGGGGGACAACGUUUCGAAAGGAACGCUAAUACCGCAUACGUCCUACGGGAGAAAGCAGGGGACCUUCGGGCCUUGCGCUAUCGGAUGAGUCUAGGUCGGAUUAGCUAGUUGGUGGGGUAAAGGCCUACCAAGGCGACGAUCCGUAACUGGUCUGAGAGGAUGAUCAGUCACACUGGAACUGAUACACGGUCCAGACUCCUACGGGGGGCAGCAGUGGGGAAUAUUGGACAAUGGGCGAAAGCCUGAUCCAGCCAUGCCGCGUGUGUGAAGAAGGUCUUCGGAUUGUAAAGCACUUUAAGUUGGGAGGAAAGGCAGUAAGUUAAUACCUUGCUGUUUUGACGUUACCAACAGAAUAAGCACCGGCUAACUUCGUGCCAGCCGCCGCCGUAACAC
rnacentral:rRNA from 1 species